GGGGAAGGCUGGCGGCGUGCUUACACAUGCAAGUCGUACGAUGAUCUCCAGCUUGCUGGGGGGAUUAGUGGCGAACGGGUGAGUAACACGUGAGUAACCUGCCCUUGACUCUGGGAUAAGCCUGGGAAACUGGGUCUAAUACCGGAUAUGACCAUUCCACGCAUGUGGUGGUGGUGGAAAGCUUUUGCGGUUUUGGAUGGACUCGCGGCCUAUCAGCUUGUUGGUGGGGUAAUGGCCUACCAAGGCGACGACGGGUAGCCGGCCUGAGAGGGUGACCGGCCACACUGGGACUGAGACACGGCCCAGACUCCUACGGGAGGCAGCAGUGGGGAAUAUUGCACAAUGGGCGGAAGCCUGAUGCAGCGACGCCGCGUGAGGGAUGACGGCCUUCGGGUUGUAAACCUCUUUCAGUAGGGAAGAAGCGUAAGUGACGGUACCUGCAGAAGAAGCGCCGGCUAACUACGUGCCAGCAGCCGCGGUAAUACGUAGGGCGCAAGCGUUAUCCGGAAUUAUUGGGCGUAAAGAGCUCGUAGGCGGUUUGUCGCGUCUGCUGUGAAAGACCGGGGCUCACUCCGGUUCUGCAGUGGUACGGGCAGACUAGAGUGCAGUAGGGGAGACUGGAAUUCCUGGUGUAGCGGUGAAUGCGCAGAUAUCAGGAGGAACACCGAUGGCGAAGGCAGUCUCUGGCUGUACUGACGCUGAGGAGCGAAGCAUGGGGAGCGACAGAUAAAUACCCUGUAGUCAUGCGUAACGUGGCCUAGGGGGGGGAAUCCGUUCCGCCGGACUACCAUAGGGCCGCUGGGGUCGCCAAGCUAACCAGAAUGGGGCCGCAGGGGACGGGUAUCUGCGGGACUUCAGUG
rnacentral:rRNA from 1 species